CUACGGGCGGCUGCAGUGAGGAAUAUUGCACAAUGGAGGAAACUCUGAUGCAGCAACGCCGCGUGGAGGAUGACGCAUUUCGGUGUGUAAACUCCUUUUAUAUGUCAAGAAAAUGACGGUAGCAUAUGAAUAAGCUCACGGCUAACUCCGUGCCAGCAGCCGCGGUAAUACGGAGGGAGCAAGCGUUACUCGGAAUCACUGGGCGUAAAGGACGCGUAGGCGGGAUAGAAAGUCAGGUGUGAAAUCCUAUGGCUCAACCAUAGAACUGCACUUGAAACUUCUAACCUAGAGUAUGGGAGGGGAAGAUGGAAUUAGUGGUGUAGGGGUAAAAUCCGUAGAUAUCACUAGGAAUACCAAAAGCGAAGGCGAUCUUCUGGAACAAUACUGACGCUAAGGCGUGAAAGCGUGGGGAGCAAACAGGAUUAGAUACCCUUGAGUC
rnacentral:rRNA from 1 species